UCAAGCACUUCAUGCUUUCCUUUGUAUCUCUAAAAGGAUUUGGACAAAUAAAAUCAAACUUAUUAACAGUUGAAAAGCUCUUCAAAUCAUUAGAAAUAACUUGACUUUAUUGAAUCUCCAUUGAAGUUUCCAUGGCUUGAGUAGGCUCAUCAGUUUCUUGCUGUAGAAUAGAUUCUUCAAUGAGUAUAUGUUCAAGAAUCAAAUCUUCAGAUUCUUCAAUCUUA
rnacentral:misc_RNA from 1 species